GGGGAGCCCCAGGAACCCAGUCAGAGACACCAGUCACUGACCCUGCUCCUGCCAGGCUGUCCCAGGAGAGCUCUGGCCCCAUGAACCAGGGCUGUGGCCCAGCUGUAUGUGUCAUGAACAGUUCAGGUUGGAAGGGAGCCUACAUGAGCCAUGAAGCCUAUAUUGCCUAGAGAUGUCUACAAGCAGGUUAGAUCUUUUGCCAGGAUAGCUUGGCUAAAGCUAAUCAUGUCUUCCUUUGGGACAAAGUGCCUUGGAGGAGGGAAUGAAACAACAACUCACAGAAUUCAUACAUGUAUAUAUUUAUUUAUACGCUGAAAGACACAGCUAAGGAGUGGACGAUGUACUACACAUUAGCUUUCUGAUAUACAGCAUUCAAAGCCAAGAGCUAAGUAGUUUGCUAAGGCAAGGUGUUAGAGCUGGUUUGUGUGAAAUUCUAAUUAAUAUUUUCUGGUUUCUUUAUUUUGGGGUGACAUUCAGUCUGGACACUGCAUGGUUAAGUUGGGAGGAAGCCACUGUGGCCAGUAUGUUCCUCUUCAUGCUGGGCUAAACAAGGAGUGCCUGGAAGCAGUAUUUCUUUUAUACCAAGUGUUUGAAAUGAUUCAUGUUGAGUUGGCUGCUACAUAAGCAUCACAGAAAGCCUGGGAGAUGCACGACUGAGCUGAGCCUGCUGCCUUCUCCACACAGGUAGGAGCUGAUAGCAGGGAUGUCCUUGCACAGCUCAGCCCUUGUUCACCUCCAUCAUCCUUAGCUGGUAAAAGCUGCAUAUCAGCUCUCAAGCCAACACGUUCAGGUCUCUGGGGUAGGUGUGAGUGGGUGACCACCACCAGCCCCAGGAGUGGCAGCUUGCCUUGUCCUAACAGGCUGGCCUGUUACCGUCCUGCAACCAAUAUGCCACUUCAAAUUGAUGAAGCAUGCUGUCAUAUUAUAGAGACACCUCUUUGCAAGCUGCACGUGAAGGUUGGUGUGAGUAAGAUAUUUGUUAUUAUGGGCUUUUUUCCCCCUUUAUUCUGUAUUAUUGACGGCAGAGGUAAAGAGAUUCACGUCUC